CCGGGCGGGAAGCCGCGUCCGCCGCCAGGCCCCGUUCGCACGCGGUUUUCCCCCGCGGCCUCCGCCUGCACCGCGUCGGGGCCGGGUCUCCCUGGGCCGCGGCCCGUCUCCCGGGGCCGGGAGGGCUCGCGGCUCCGCGCCGACUCCCGCUCGGCCGCACGGCGAGGCGAGGACCCCGAGACGAGGCCGAGCGCGGCAGGGCGCCCUCGGUCCUUCCUUACGGUGUCCGUGCGCGAAAAAUGGGGCGUCGACACGCGCAGUGGGGCUGCGGCAGGAAGCGCGGCUCGCCGGCAGCGACCUGCUGUCGUCCCCUCUCGGCGCCUUCGCCUGCCUCGGCCUCGGCGUCGGCACCGGGGUCAGCAGGGGUCAGCAGGUGUCACCCGGGGUCAGCAGGGGUCACCCGGGGUCAGCAGGUGUCACCCAAGAGACUGAAUUCACCUCCGUGCUAGUUGAAUCCUCCAGCUCGUGGCUGCACUGAAAGAGACUCAAUAUUUAACAGUAGAGCUGGCCUUGGAACUGGAAGCAAAGGCGCUGACCACAUUCCCAGGGCAGAGCAAUUCCUUCCCAUUUGAUUACUUCACAGCACAAACGAUGGCUGGAUAUUGAGAAUAAACAAGCAAGUGAGGCAGCUUUACCACUCAGCUUCCUGAGAACUCCACUCCAUCCUCCAACCUUGCAGGAGAGGGACUGAUGGAGAGUAAGCUGUGCUCGGACAGGUAAGUACAGAGGGAUGGAAGUGCCCGCAUGUAUGCCCAGCCCCACUUGGGGCUGACUUGCUAGUUCAGAAGACAAUCUGCAAUCUAACUCUGCCUGAUUUGACUCCUGCUCUAAGAAACAGAAAAAUUACAAGAAUUUAGGAGCAAAUUAGGCUAGUUCAGGGGAAGUCAUUAGUGUUUUCAUGACACCCUGAGGAACAAUGCCCAGAUGGUAAAAAUAUUCUAUCUUGAAACCAAGGGUAGGAGAGUCUAGGUGAUGAGCAAUUGAUGCCAUCACUAUCUCUACUGCUUGUCUAACCCAAGUAAAUAAGCCACUUCCUCUUCUAUUUUUUUGUGCUUUCUUUCUUUCUUCCUUCCUUUUUUUUUUUUUUUUUUUUUUUUUUGGUCGUUAUUGCUGUUGUUUUGUUUACUGAGUGUUGUGAGUACUUGAUUCAUUUGAAACAUCGGUGGGGUGGGAAAAUUUAAGCUAGGUUGUCAGCUCAUAAGUCAUGCUAAGUACACAAAAAAGUUACAUUUUUUUUUUCCCGUAUUGUCCUAGUCCUCUCAUAACAAAAUGCCACAGACUGGGUGCCUUAUAAACAAUGGACAACUACUUCCCACAAUUAUGGAAUCUGGAAGUCUGAGAUCAGGGUGUCAGUAAGGUUGGGUGAAGCUGUCAACUUCUUGUCUUCUCACUUGGGGAAGGCAGAAGGGAGUUUUCUCAGACCUUGUUUAAAAGUCCUAAUCCCAUCAUAAGGACUCCUCCUUCAUGACCUCAUCACCUCCCAAAGGCCCCAGCUUCUAGCACCAUCACCUUGGGCAUUAGGAUUUCAGCAUAUGAUCGGGGAAGACACAAAAAUUCAGACCAUAACACUCAUCUUCACCUCACUCUGCUUUAUUAUCCUAAAUUAUUUACAUCACAAAAUGGAGUAAAGACAGGAUUUUUUAAACCUCCCUAGAAUUAUCCAUUUGGAAAAAAAGUAGCUGUGAUAAUUCAGUGCUUAUUUAAGAAAUUGAUUCCUGUCAUACCUCUUAAAAAUACCCUGAAACCUUGCCACAUAAUAACAUCCUUCAAAAAAAGUCAAUGUUUAUAGGUAUGAUGAAAAUAAAUACAUUUAUUACUCAGAAUGAAUCCAUUCUCUGAAUUGCAUGUAGCCCUCUGCCUCCUGCCAUUCCCACAUGAAGAAUAACCUGAAUUUUCCGGAAUGACGAUCAAGGAUAUAAAAGGAAAGGGCAUUCUUAGGUGGUCCAAGACUGAGAAAUCAGUCCUCAUCAGUGAUGUGGGCAUGUGUGAUUCAGUUAAGUGCUAACUGGGUCUAUAAAACCUGUAAAUCAUGAUUUCCACCCUACUGAUUGCUUUUGCUAAACCUUAUGACAGAAGUUAGGUGCUGUAUUUUGCAAUUUCAGGCUUUGAAAUGUUUCUGUAUGUAUUCCUUACAAACCCAGGCUGUACUGAAUUUCCAACAUUGUGACAUAGGCCCCUGUUACGAGACGGCUAAAUCCUUGAAAGAAGCUGGUAGUUGAUCAAUACAUUUGCAGCCGUCUCUGUCUCUGUGCCUUUUUCCAGGUGACUUUGCUAUUCCUCCCAUCAGGAUGUGGGAUAUAUUUUCUCACCCUUUGAUCAGAAGUUUGGCCACUUGCUUUGUUUUGGCCAAUGGAGCAAUAGUGGAUGUGAUGCAAGAGGAAGCAUGAAAACCUGGGCUUGCUUUGUGCUUCUACCAUCACAAUGAGGAGGAUAGACCCAGCUAGUCCAUUAGCCCAGGAGGAAAGUGAGAGUCAUGUGGAGCAGAACCCAGUCAUCCCACUAAGCCCAGCCAAACCAGCUGCCUCAUAGCCCGUGCCCAGACACGUAAGUGAGUUCAGGUCAAGAUCAGGAGGUAGGCGAACUUAGCUGAAUUCUUCAGACAGCAAAGACAUAAAUGCGUAGAGCUAUCUGCCAUAUAGUACACUAGCUAACUGCCACAGUUCAGUAAAAAUAUAUAAAGGGGAAGAGGAGUGAGUUUGGCUUCUUGGAAAGUGUUCAUUUUCCUGGAUAUGACGAGUUAUUUAUUGAACCAAAAAAAUGUAAAGGUUAAAAAAAAAAACUGUAUUAAGUACCUUACCCCUGAUAUGUAAGCUACAUAUUCAGUGAGGUUUAUUUCAUGAUAUUAUACAGGUGAUAGUGGUGAAAUAUAAUACUGCUGAAAUAAAUGAAAACUUUAGGGCAGCCCCGGUGGCUCAGCAGUUUAGCACCGCCUUUGGCCCAGGGCAUGAUCCUGGAGUCCCGGGAUCGAGUCCCACGUCGGGCUCCCUGCAUAAGGCCUGAUUCUCCCUCUGCCUGUGUCUCUGCCUCUCUCUCUCGCUCGCUCGCUCUGUAUCUCUCAUGAGUAAAUAAAAUAAAAUCUUAAAAAAAAAAGAAAGAAACUUUACUUUUUUUAUCAUAACACUGCAUAUCUGUUUGAAGGUAUACAUUUGUGUAUCAAGAGGCAGGCAGAGAGUGAUUACCAUCUGACAGUGCUUUACUGUCCAGGUAUUCAUCUGAAGGUUCUGUAAUGCAUCAAAACUAUUUUUGUUUUAUCAAUUUGUUAAUUUUUAGCUCAAAGAAUGGAUGUGCACAUUGUACAUAGUUCUGGUUAUACAGACAUCAAACUUAUUCUUUUUAUCUAUAGAUCCUAAUAGCCUGUCUUAUGUAUUUUUUUUUAUUUUUUUUUGUCUUAUGUAUUUUAAAGAAACCCAUCUAGCCAACUAGUUAUCUAAACAUAGUAAGAGGAAAAGACUAGUUAAAAUUAAAUUUCCAUACUUAAAGUAAAAUUAGAUAGUAAAUUGUGUAAGAAAUGUUUUGAUUUGUACUCUGAUUUGAAAAUUGGAAGAAAGGGUAUUAUUAAACAUUUAUUUCAUGAUAUAUUAAUAAAACGUUUGUUGUAACUGCAACAUACUAAUUCUUAGAAUGAAGAAGAAUCAAAUAUUAGUUGAGAUUUUUGUUUAAAAUACUUCCGACAGGGGCACCUAAGUGUCUCAGUUGCUUAAGCUUUCAACUCAUGGUUUCAACCGAAGUCAUGAUCUCUGGGUUGUGAGAUCAAAUCCUGUGUCAGGCUCCACACUCAGUGGGGAGUCUGCUUCUCCUCUCCCUCUGCCCCUCCCACUGCUCAAGCGCACUCUCUCUCUCUCUCAAACAAAUAAAUAAAUAUUUAAAAUAAUUAUUUAAUAUUUCUGACACAAUUAUUAGAAGAUAAAUGCAGUGUGGUCUCCUGAAUUGGAUCCUGGAACAGAAAAAAUUGGUAAAAAUUGGUGAAAUAUGUAUAGAAUCUGGAAUUUAGUUAAAAGUAAUGUUUAAGGGCUGCCUGGGUGGCUGAAUGAUUGAGCAUCUGCCUUCGGCUCAGGUCAUAAUCCCGGGGUCCCGGGAUCAAGUCCUGCAUCGGGCUCCCUACAUGGAGCCUGCCUCUCCCACCGCCUGUGUCUCUUCCUCUCUCUGUGUGUCUGUCGUGAAUAAAUAAAUAAAAUCUUAAAAAAUAAAUAAGUAAAUAAAUAAAUAUAAUGUGUAAAUAUCAAUUUCUUAGUUUUGACAAAUGUGUAAGUUAAGAAUUGCCGUUAGUGGAAACUGGUAAGAAAUAGACAAGAACUCUACUAUAGUUGUGGCUAUUCUAUAAAUCUAACAUAUUACAAAAUGAAAAGUUUAUUUCAAAAUUAUUUGGGUGGCAUGACAUGACAUUCUUUUCUCACUUUGACAACAUAACCACAAAGAUAUUCAUUUGUUCAGAAACAUGUGAAGGCUGUACCAGUUUUCCCAAGGGCCUCACUUAGCGCCUUAAGACAAACUUUCUCUUUUAAAGCACCUAUCCCAACGGAAUCCUCGUAAUUUUUCAACAUCAUAACUGUAGGAAUACAGAUAAUAUUAGGAAGGCAGAGAAUCCCUUAUCUCCACUUUUUCUACACUGAAAAUACAUAAAAAAUUAGGGAAACAAAACAGCCACUGAGAAUUGGCAGCCAAUGAAGAAAGGAAAAGACCCCAACAUGGGAUACAGACUGUAUUUAGAGAUUUUCUUCCUUCCGUGGAGUAUAUCAUAAGACGGUCAGAAGCAUGUGACCUUAAUGACUAAAUCCUUCUCUCGCCAAGUCUGUGGCUUCACAGGAGGCAGGAAUUUACAUAGGCAAAAAGAAGUUACAACACAGGCCCAUACCCAAUUAUGAUGUGAUUCCGCAAACAUGCUUAUGUUAAUUUUUUUUCAGAUUAAAACAAAAGAUAAGAUCAUAGAAAAUGCUAAUUCUCACAGAAUUCCAGAGUCCCUGAAAAUGUGUCUUUGGAGCCCAACGUUCCCUCUCUGUGCUUCAUUUCCCUCACCCGUAAAAGGAGACAGUCGUCGUAUCUUCCUGGUGGUUGGUUGGUAGGAUUAAAUGAGAUAAUCUAUGAAAAGAAGGUAAGCUUGCACCUGGUACUUGAUUCUUCUGACUCCGCUUGUACCCAGCCAGUCUUCUGCGAAGGAGGAGGCAGCUGACUAAGCAGACUAAGGAAUCAUGCAUAGAGCUAAGAUCCGGCUUACUUUUGUUAUUUUCUUCUCUAAAGGUUUGAAGGAGCUCCUGAUAACAUUUUUGCUUUGUCUUCACGUAGUGGGCAGCUCCUCCUCUCCUGUUCCACGCUAUUCCUUUAGUUCCCGUGAGGAGGCUAUGUUCUGUGCAGGUAAAAGUGGGCAUUCGUUUCUGGCUCGAUCCAAUCAUAACCAUACUGUCAACUCUACAAGAUGCUAAUUACGAAAUAAGAGACAAUUGGUUGUGUUUUACGAGGCUGUUAGGACAUGCCCAGUAUGCCCAGUAAGUGAGCCAGGAGACUGAAACGCAAGUGCUUUGGGCUGUUCCUCCGUGUGUGUUAUUGGCUCAAUUAACCAUACCUUAAAGGAGCGCUGCUGCUGCUUCCACAGUGGGUGUUUCAUAAUUUGUUUUGUUAGAUGUUGCCCCGAGCAAGUCCUCUGAGGCUGAAGGAGUUCUAAAGCUCUAUUUCCAAACACGUUCCAUGAUUCCUCUCACUCAGCCCCUUACAGGGAAGGGGAUCUGGAAAAGAUUUCACCGCAAGAUUUCACCCUGAGAAUCAAGGCCACUGAGAAGCAGGGACAUUUUUAAAGGAACUCCAUAACUGCCCUCAUAACUGAUUUGGACAGAACAGACACACUUGAGUAAACGCGGGGGCGGCUCACUUCUUUGCAAAGGAGUCCGUCUCUACUAUUUAAGUCAACACUGAUGUGAAGAUAUUUCCAUUUUUCUUUGCUCUCUAGAGCAUCGUCGGUUCAGAUCUCACGGCUGAAGUUCACACUGGAGAUUCUUUGCACUAUUCCUUUGUUGUUGUUUUUUUUUUAAUAUAAAGCAACAGAAAAAUCUAGUUCCAAGUCAAUGUUUCCAAUAUCAGCUUCUUUCAGAGUUAAUAGCUACAUGAUGAAAUCAAAAUAUCAUUUUUAAGGGACGUCUGGGUGGCUCGGUCAGUUGAGCAUCCAACUCAUGAUUUCGACUGAGGUCAUGAUCUUAGGGUCAUAGGAUCAAGGCCCGAGCUGGGUUUUGUGUUUGCUGUAGAAUCUGCUUGAAAUCCCACUUGAGAUUCCCUGACCCCACCCACAUCAUGCUCAUGCUCAUUCUCUCUCUGUCUCUCUCUCUCUCUCAAAUAAAUAAAUAAAUAAAUAAAUAAAUAAAUAAAUAAAUAAAUAAAUAAAUUUUAAUGGCAUUUUUAAGGAGAAAGAAAAAGAAUAGUGUAAAGUUCUUGUGACCUUAAAUUAUUGUAUUCACUACGUAAUAAAUAUUUGGAUUUGAAACUUUUCCUCACCGGUCAUGUAUGGCGGUUGCUCUGUCUUAACCCUGACAUCACACUCUCUACUCAGGUCCCUCACCUUCUUCAAGGGGCGGAAGGGGAGAUUUUCAGUAGAAAAGACUCCCUGACUUUGCCCUACAUUCUCUACCCCUCUAGAACGGGGCCAUAUGGGACGUAUCAGGACUGAAAGCACGAGUUUGAAACAACAAAAAUAAGCAGAUGUUUCAGAAGCAUAACCUAGAAGCCAUGACCGUCCACACUACUGCUCGCUCCCCACCCCCAAGUCGUCAUCCUCAGAGCUCCGUGAACUACGCAGAGAACCCACCGGCUACAGCAGACACCAGAACCGCACAUAUCGGCUCACAUCAAGCCCUCACACAACCUUUAAGGGCCUUAUUCUUGGCAUUUCAUUUAUUGAGCACCGGCUGUACGCACAGUCUUCUGCUAUAACCUCUAUAAGGAAAUGCUCUGCAAACUCCCUCUCUCCCCUGAGUUUCACAAAACACGAUGAUGUAUCCAUCUUGGUGCCGCCCUUGGAUCUGGUCUUCAUGGAACCCGCAGGAAUAUACCCUGUUUUUCUCGGUGGUUCUGCAGAGUUCCCAUCUCUUAAAGCUUUAGUGUCCAAGUCCUGCGAGUGGUUGCUUGAAAGACCUAAUCAUUUCACUCUGACCUAAACUUAGCCGGUUAUACACACAAACCUGUUGAACCAAUGGCUGGAUUAAAGAACCCCUUUAACAGAA